rnacentral:rRNA from 1 species
CGGACGGGUGAGUAACGCGUGGGCAACCUGCCCCGCACUGGGGGACAACAGCCGGAAACGGCUGCUAAUACCGCAUAAGCGCACAGCUUCGCAUGAAGCGGUGUGAAAAACUCCGGUGGUGCGGGAUGGGCCCGCGUCUGAUUAGCUGGUUGGCGGGGUAACGGCCCACCAAGGCAACGAUCAGUAGCCGGCCUGAGAGGGUGGACGGCCACAUUGGGACUGAGACACGGCCCAGACUCCUACGGGAGGCAGCAG